rnacentral:rRNA from 1 species
AGCGAACGCUGGCGGCAGGCUUAACACAUGCAAGUCGAGCGGGCAUCUUCGGAUGUCAGCGGCAGACGGGUGAGUAACACGUGGGAACGUACCCUUCGGUUCGGAACAACUCUGGGAAACUGGAGCUAAUACCGGAUACGCCCUUAUGGGGAAAGGUUUACUGCCGAAGGAUCGGCCCGCGUCUGAUUAGCUAGUUGGUGGGGUAACGGCCUACCAAGGCGACGAUCAGUAGCUGGUCUGAGAGGAUGAUCAGCCACACUGGGACUGAGACACGGCCCAGACUCCUACGGGAGGCAGCAGUGGGGAAUAUUGGACAAUGGGCGCAAGCCUGAUCCAGCCAUGCCGCGUGAGUGAUGAAGGCCUUAGGGUUGUAAAGCUCUUUUGUCCGGGACGAUAAUGGCGGUACCGGAAGAAUAAGCCCCGGCUAACUUCGUG